CUAGUACUCCCUCCGUUUCAAAUUACUCGUCGCUGAAAUGGAUGUAUCUAGAACAAAAAUACAUCUAGAUACAUCCAUAUGUGCGACAAGUAAUUUGGAACGGAGGGAGUAUUUC
rnacentral:pre_miRNA from 1 species